rnacentral:rRNA from 1 species
UGGGGAAUUUUGGACAAUGGGGGCAACCCUGAUCCAGCCAUUCCGCGUGAGUGAAGAAGGCCUUCGGGUUGUAAAGCUCUUUCAGCAGGAACGAAACGGUGCGCUCUAACAUAGCGUGCUAAUGACGGUACCUGCAGAAGAAGCACCGGCUAACUACGUGCCAGCAGCCGCGGUAAUACGUAGGGUGCGAGCGUUAAUCGGAAUUACUGGGCGUAAAGCGUGCGCAGGCGGAUUGUUAAGCAAGACGUGAAAUCCCCGGGCUUAACCUGGGAAUGGCGUUUUGAACUGGCAGUCUAGAGUGUGUCAGGGGGGGUGGAAUUCCACGUGUAGCAGUGAAAUGCGUAGAGAUGUGGAGGAACACCAAUGGCGAAGGCAGCCCCCUGGGAUAACACUGACGCUCAUGUACGAAAGCGUGGGUAGCAAACAGGAUUAGAUACCCUGGUAGUCCACGCCCUAAACGAUGUCAACUGGUUGUUGGGGGAGUGAAAUCCCUUAGUAACGAAGCUAACGCGUGAAGUUGACCGCCUGGGGAGUACGGUCGCAAGAUUA